rnacentral:rRNA from 1 species
CAGUCGCCACGGGAAUACGUAGGGUGCAAGCGUUAAUCGGAAUUACUGGGCGUAAAGCGUGCGCAGGCGGUUAUAUAAGACAGAUGUGAAAUCCCCGGGCUCAACCUGGGAACUGCAUUUGUGACUGUAUAGCUAGAGUACGGCAGAGGGGGAUGGAAUUCCGCGUGUAGCAGUGAAAUGCGUAGAUAUGCGGAGGAACACCGAUGGCGAAGGCAAUCCCCUGGGCCUGUACUGACGCUCAUGCACGAAAGCGUGGGGAGCAAACAGGAUUAGAUACCCCAGUAGUCCCUGUCUCUUAUAC